AUUGAACGCUGGCGGAAUGCUUUACACAUGCAAGUCGAACGGUAGAGGGGGCAACCCCUCGAGAGUGGCGAACGGGUGAGUAAUAUAUCGGAACAUGCCCAGUCGUGGGGGAUAACGUAGCGAAAGUUACGCUAAUACCGCAUACGAUCUACGGAUGAAAGCGGGGGAUCGCAAGACCUCGCGCGAUUGGAGCGGCCGAUAUCAGAUUAGGUAGUUGGUGGGGUAAAGGCUCACCAAGCCAACGAUCUGUAGCUGGUCUGAGAGGACGACCAGCCACACUGGAACUGAGACACGGUCCAGACUCCUACGGGAGGCAGCAGUGGGAAUUUUGGACAAUGGACGCAAGUCUGAUCCAGCCAUUCCGCGUGCAGGAUGAAGGCCCUCGGGUUGUAAACUGCUUUUGUACGGAACGAAAAGGUUUCCAUUAAUACUGGGAGCUCAUGACGGUACCGUAAGAAUAAGCACCGGCUAACUACGUGCCAGCAGCCGCCGUAA
rnacentral:rRNA from 1 species